GACGGAGGGUGCUAGCGUUGUUCGGAAUGACUGGGCGUAAAGGGCGCGUAGGCGGCCGCUUGCGUCGGAUGUGAAAGCCCGGGGCUCAACCCCGGAACGGCAUCCGAUACGGGGCGGCUCGAGACCGAGAGAGGUGAGUGGAAUACCCAGUGUAGAGGUGAAAUUCGUAGAUAUUGGGUGGAACACCGGUGGCGAAAGCGGCUCACUGGCUCGGUUCUGACGCUGAGGUGCGAAAGCGUGGGGAGCAAACAGG
rnacentral:rRNA from 1 species